rnacentral:RNase_P_RNA from 1 species
GGAGUCGGCCAGACAGUCGCGUCACCCCGGGUGCUUGCAUCCGGCGGUGCCGAGGAAAGUCCGGGCUCCACAGGGCAAGGUGCCAGGUAACGCCUGGGCGGCGCGAGCCGACGGAAAGUGCAACAGAAAGAUACCGCCCAAGACUGCUUUAAGCAGGACGGCAAGGGUGAAAUGGUGCGGUAAGAGCGCACCGCGAGCCUGGUAACAGGCCGGCACGGCAAACCCCACCUGGAGCAAGACCAAAUAGGGACCUCAUGACGUUGCCCGCGUCGGGUCCGGGUAGGUUGCUCGAGCGUACCGGUGACGGUGCGCCUAGAGGAAUGACUGUCCACGACAGAACCCGGCUUAUCGGCCGGCUCCGCCA